UACGAAGGGUGCAAGCGUUACUCGGAAUUACUGGGCGUAAAGCGUGCGUAGGUGGUUUGUUAAGUCUGAUGUGAAAGCCCUGGGCUCAACCUGGGAAUUGCAUUGGAUACUGGCAGGCUAGAGUGCGGUAGAGGUAGUGGAAUUCCCGGUGUAGCAGUGAAAUGCGUAGAGAUCGGGAGGAACAUCUGUGGCGAAGGCGACUACCUGGACCAGCACUGACACUGAGGCACGAAAGCGUGGGAGCAAACAGGA
rnacentral:rRNA from 1 species